CCGUACACCAGGCGUAUUUCUGCACGGAUUAACUCAUUUAAGCUUUAUAAUCUCCCUCUGAACUCAGCAAACACUGAAAAAAAACUUUAAUGAAAGGAAGGGGAGCAGAAACUCAUCGCCAGGCUUGAAAGUAAAGCUUCAACCACCUCCUACUCCUGUGUGUCUCGGCUCAAGACCCAGAUUCCCAGAAGAGCGAGCUAGGAUUGACCAACGAGAGUCAGGCACCCAGCCCUACAGCCAGGGGGUGAAGUUUGGUGAUUGACAGCCCCAUCAGAGCCAUGUAACACAGGCAAGGGGUAGUUCCCCAGAGGAAGUGACACCCAGCAAACAGACACACCGACGACAAGUAUAACCACUCUCACAGAACCAGGACUCCUUCUAAGAACAUAGAACCUUGCUGGAGGGGAGGUCCUCAUCUAAGACAGGCACAGAUGGCUCAAAUCACAGUGACAAUGUUACGCUCAGUCAAGAGUAUGAAGAGUCUCAGACCCUCCUUGAAAUUCAAGGCCAGCGCUGGAUAAGGACCUUCAAGGUAUUUAAGCAGCUUCCCAAGGUGCAGCGCCCAGAAGAAAAUGCUCACUGGAUUUAUGGGGCACAUUAUUGAUAAACCCAGCGACCAUGUGUCAUAAUUCAGUAUGCAGGCGGAGAAGCAAAUGGCACUAGAGGUUUUGUAUUAAAUAGACAGACCCUGAGCCUGAUUUAUGUAUCGAGUGCCAGUUGCUCCCAGGGGCACCCAGGACAAUAGGUCUGAAACUACUUCUGUCUUUGCUUCUUGACUCCUUCCUCUGUGUCUGAAAUGAUUCACUAGGCAGUAUGACCUUUGCAAUGUCGUCAUUGCUUGUUACAUCUGCCCUAGGAGGUGGACUUUGAGAUUUACCAGGAAUGAAACCACAUCCAUGACUAUUGCCUUUGAAAUGGGACAGUCCCUGCUGGACACUGUUAAAAUACUUCAGAAGGUAGCAUUUCCCCUGUUUUUCCACAAGGGCUGCUUUCAAGAUAUA
rnacentral:lncRNA from 1 species